UUCAAGAAUCAGGCACACUUCUUAUGGCUAGAAAGUGUUUCAUGCUGGAAAAAUAAGUCGUCUCACUACAAACAGCUCUUCUGGAGGAUGUACUCAAUCUCCACUUGUUUGGAGUGUGGGUUUGAGUACAAAUGCUGCACACCUGGUUAUGCUGGGAAGGGAAAGCGAGGUGAGCUCCAGGGCAUUUAUUCCGAAACCUUCCUCCCUGGAUUUUGCAGUUUUGACUGCAUGCAGAUCAGUUCUA